rnacentral:lncRNA from 1 species
GUCCUUCCUGAGAGUUCCUAUCCCUGGGGUCCUGCUCUAGGGUCCCACCUCAUCCAGACAGGCAUUAACUGGUGUUUCCCCCCUGGCAGGAGGGUGCAGAGCUCCAAGCUGGGCCCGACCCCCCCUCGGCUGCUGUCAGAGGAGGAAUAUCGGCUCCAGGGCGAGGUGGAGACCCAAAAGGCCCUGGCAGAGCUGCGGAGUGUCUGCAGGAGCCCCGAAUUCUCUGCCUGGAGCACAGUGUCCCGCAUCCAGUCUCCCAAAAGGUUUGCUGAUUUUGURGCUGGUGCUUCCCAUGUCACCCCCAACGAGGUGUCAGCCCACGAGCGGGAGUUUGGCCUGGAAAGUCUCUCCAUUGACGAGCAGCUCUUYGAGGAGGAUGAUGAUGAUGAUGAAGAAGAAGAGGARGAAAAUGUCAAUUACUCCUUUGCUGGGAAUCACAGGAGUGAUUUCCUGCCCCACAACCACCUGGAUGUUCAGUGAGGUGCCUGAGGGUGACACACACGAGAGGAACUUUGGACCUGUCCCGCUGGUACCUGUGUGCUCAGCACCUGCCUGGAGCCGUGAUGAGGGAGCUGCCAGUGACCUGCUCCUCCYCCUGCUGUUACAAAUAUCUUAGAGGGCUCCAGCUGGUCGGGCCACUCCUCUGCCUUGGCUUCAAUCCCGUGUGGAUGCCAAAAACUUCAGGGCUUCCCUGAUGGAGCUGUGGAGCCUCAGGGUCUUYUGCUGGGUGCCCCUGGAUGUGGUGUUGGGGUGGAGGACGUGCUMAGCCCCCUCUGCCCAUGCCAGAGCUGAGGAUGAGCGUGGAUGUGCUUCCUCCCUUCCUCACUGCCCUUCUGCUGUUACUCCUCUCCCAGUGGGUGUGGGCAGGAUCUGAGGGUGACCCCACCAAUGUUCCAGCUCCCAGUGCUGGCUGGGGAGCUCUGCCAAAGCACAAAGCUGGAGGGGACACCCCAAUCUAUGCAACUUCCUAAGCAAUAACUCUGCCCUCACCUCCUCGCAGUGUCUCAGCUGCCCUGGGRACCCCCAGCCUUGUCCCUACCUCACCUGGAGCUUCUGCCAUCAGUUUGUCCCAAUCCCAGCUCUGUCCCUUUGCUCCCCAGCCCUCGCUGCACUUUCCUCCCUGCUCAGGUGUGAGCAGACUCUGUUACUCUGUCCCCCCCACCCGCAGCGUGGUGAAUGACUG